GACGAACGCUGGCGGCGUGCUUAACACAUGCAAGUCGAACGGAAAGGCCCCUUUGGGGGUACUCGAGUGGCGAACGGGUGAGUAACACGUGAGUAACCUGCCCUUGACUUCGGGAUAACUUCAGGCAACUGGGGCUAAUACCGGAUAGGAAUCCUUGCUGCAUGGUGGGGGUUGGAAAGCUUCGGCGGUUUUGGAUGGACUCGCGGCUUAUCAGCUUGUUGGUGGGGUAGUGGCUUACCAAGGCUUUGACGGGUAGCCGGCCUGAGAGGGCGACCGGCCACAUUGGGACUGGGAUACGGCCCAGACUCCUACGGGAGGCAGCAGGGGGGAAUAUUGCACAAUGGGCGGAAGCCUGAUGCAGCAACGCCGCGUGCGGGAUGACGGCCUUCGGGUUGUAAACCGAUUUCAGCAGGGGCGAAGCUUGUGGUGACGGUACCUGCAGAAGAAGCACCGGCUAACUACGUG
rnacentral:rRNA from 1 species